UUAGGGAUCUGUUAUCGCUUACAAGAGCCAACGCCCAAUGUCUCUCCCCCUCCCUCAGAUUCUCUUGCCACAGCAUCCUCCCACCAUUAAAUUUGACCUUUGAUGCCGCCAACCCCAUUAGACGCACCCUUUUCCCUCUUUUCUCUCUUUGAAUAAACAUCCCCAAACCUUGCUAACCCUAAAUCUUCUUCCCCGAGGUACCAUUGAACCUAUUUAUGCUCGUUCAAAUGAAGACGACGACACUGGGCUCUCUGUUUCAUCUCGUCUGGCAGAUUUGCUCGCCAUCUCCUCCUACUCCUGCAUGGUUCAAAUCUGUUGCAGCUAUAUAGAUUCCUGAUGAAGAUGUUGGACUUUAUGAGGUUGCCAAGAAAAUCGACGACAUAGUAUGGCUUCGGCACCUCGAGGAUCCUCUUGCUCCUCUUUACUCUUCUCCUCCUUGGCCUCAACCUUGGUACCCAGAUUUUAGGCUGAAAUGGCUAUCCUCUUUGGUCUAUAUUCUUAGCAAAGCUAUUUGAGUCAUGCUGAAGCUAGCCAUUGGUGUUAGUUGUUUGGAUUCUGAACCCUUUACUGCUGCUGAUGGCUUGCCAAAAUAGGUGUUUUUGCUUCUUCCACUUUCAUAAGCAUUCAACAACCUCACUUAUUUCGACCUAGAUUAGUUGAGGUGGGAUUUUAUAUCCUGUGCUGGUCUCUGGGAUAAAAGUCACUUGAUGAGACAAAUUGAGAAGUAUGCUGGUAUUUAUACCUCUAGGGUGUCUAAUUUCUUAUAUUAUAUACCCUUCAUGUAUUUUCGCUCCCAGGAACAGAACCUUGCGCAUGAUUCAUACCCUUGAAGAACUACUUCAACUGUCAGCACUUCAGUUGCUGCUGCUCCUCCCAAAUUGCCAUAUGAAAUUAUAGAGAAGACUAUGAAAGAGCCGCCACCCUGCAUCAGCAAAACGCCCCCCAAACUUGAAACACAUACACGCAGCCAUCAUCAUGGGGCAUUGCCGCUGCUGGGUUCUCCGUCAGCACUACUGCAGGCAGAGAGAGAGAGAGAGAGAGAGAGAGAGCCCGUGCGAGAGGAACGGAGAUGCUGAGGGGUCACUACCGCACUGCAGCCGUCGUCACCACUGGAGCUACACGAGGCCAUCACUGUCGCCGAGCCGCAUGUCAUCACUUCCGUGAAUCGUGAAUAGAGGAGAGGGAGAAAGACGAGUUCGUGAGGGAGAAGAGGAAGCAGCGCUGCAACCUCACCUCCGUGCCUCCGUGCUACCGUCAAGUUGUCCGUUGCGUUGCCGCCAUUCUGCCUGCUGGAAAACACCCCCUGGAGCCCCUGUCUUCUUGGAUUAAGUUCUGGGUCUUACAUGCUUAGUUCUAUGGCUGAGCAUGCAACAUCAAGCUGCUGCAUCAUCACUAGAGCUGCUACUGCUUUGUUCUCUCGCUUAUUCGUAAGUACAGUAAGUUCUUCCUCGUUUCGAACCUCUGCAGUCGUUGUUCUUUUAUGUAUUACUAAGGUUCUCACAACCUUAAUAUCUCAGGGUUGAGUUACUAUUCUCGGAUGGUGCAUUUGUGGUUGUUGUUGCCGCAAGAAAAAGAUGGAUUUGAUGUCGUUGAUUGUGGGCCUAGGAGAUAAGAUUUUCUUGACGCAUUUGUUUAACGGGUUUUGACUAUUCGAGGUAAGGGCGAUUUCUUAAACUCAAUUUACUAUCAAGAAUUGUUACAAGUUGAUAUUGAUAUGACAAAUGUACUUUUAUGAUUUCGUAAGUCUUCUGAAUUAAAUUGAAUUAUUUUGGAUGACUUUAAUUGUUUGUUUGAUUGAAUUAUUGAUUGGUUGUGAAGGCUAGAAAUUAUAUUUUUAAUUGAUUAUAUUGAAGUUGGUUUAGAUUGUGAUUUACUGGAACUAGUUUGAUUUUACUGAUAAUGAAUUAAGAUUUGAAAAUGAUUUGAAACGAGUUUGAGAAAUGGUUUGGUUGGGACCCAAAAAGGGUGGCAAGUCCUGAGUUUUAGGGGAGGUAUUUUUAUGAUAAUUCUAGGGAGUUUUAUUUUAGUUAAUUUGGAUUGAAUAAUUCUUUUAUUUGAUUUUGAAUUAUGAAGGAAAGGACUACGUUUUGAGUUUGAUUUAUUUAAGAAAAGAAUGAAUUAUGUUGAGUUUGAUUAAGAAAUUACAUUAGGAGGAACUUUAGUGAAUUUUAAGAGUAAUUUGUUUUUGACUAAAUAAUUCUGUUUUACGACGUUUUGGAAGAGUCAAAGAAUUCGAAUUUCGGUUAGCAUAAUGGGACGAUCUCUGAGCCUUUGGGAAUGUUUUAAAAUUAAGAAUAAAAUUGAAAUUGGUUUUGAUUUAAAUGAUUUGGUUUUGAAAAUUGUUUCGGAACUUUUGGUUUACAUGAUUCGGUUUGGGUUUAAAUGAUUUGGUUUUAGUUUAAAUUAUAUUUUUGACCAAUUCAAAUUAAGAAGCUAUCAUUUUUUUAAUGAGUUUAAGGAAAUGAGAUUGGCCGUCGCUCCCGUAAAGUCUAGAGGCAUUACCGAGGGGUUUAACUAAUAAAUGAUUUUCCUUUUGUCUUUUGAAAAGAAUUGAGUUGAAGAAGAAUUGGUUUUAAAGGAAGAGGUUAAGAUUUGAAUUAUCAGGUAAGAUGUAGUGACGUCCACUUGCUCUGGGGUAAAGGUUUGACUGAGGAGUGAAUAAAUUGAGUUAUGGUUUUACUUGAGAUAUUGGUUGUGUGGAAUAUGUUCUGCUUUUGUUGCAUCAUAUUCUCUCUAUUUGUAAAGUGUGUUGGGCACUAUAGCGCAAGAUUGUGGUGGGCACUAUAUGUCAAGAGUAUGGCGGGCACUAUAUCCCAAGAGUGUGGGAGAACUUUACCCUGGGAAGUGUGUCGAGCACUAUAUCUCAUGAGUGUGUCAGGUACUUUAUCCCAAGAGUGUGGCGGGCAUUAUAUCCCAAGAGUGUAGGAGCACUUUAUCCUGAAAAAUGCGAUGACCAUUAUAUCCCAUGAGUGUGGUAGGCACAAUAUCCCAAUGGUGUAACGGUCACUAUAUCCCAAGAGUGUGGAAGCAUGUUAGAGAGAUGAUAUCCGGGUUAGCUACCAGGUGUUUCAGGUUUAGGCAAAGUAAUUGACACGUGAGCUCACAGCCAGUUGGAUAGGUGUAAGACCCAGAAUUUUUGGAAAAUCUUAUUAUGAUUCAAUUUCAAUUUAUUUAUUCAUUAAAGACUUUAAUUUUAGAAAUUAUU